rnacentral:rRNA from 1 species
GACGAACCGUGCGAACGUUGUUCGGAAUCACUGGGCUUAAAGGGCGCGUAGGCGGCAGUUCAAGUCCGGGGUGAAAUCCUCCAGCUCAACUGGAGAAGUGCCUUGGAUACUGGAGUGCUCGAGGGAGGUAGGGGUCGAGGGAACUUCUGGUGGAGCGGUGAAAUGCGUUGAUAUCAGAAGGAACGCCGGUGGCGAAAGCGCUCGACUGGACCUCUUCUGACGCUGAGGCGCGAAAGCGUGGGGAUCAAACGGG